GGUGAACGCUGGCGGUAGGCCUAACACAUGCAAGUCGAACGGCAGCACAGUAAGAGCUUGCUCUUACGGGUGGCGAGUGGCGGACGGGUGAGGAAUACAUCGGAAUCUACUUUUUCGUGGGGGAUAACGUAGGGAAACUUACGCUAAUACCGCAUACGACCUACGGGUGAAAGCAGGGGAUCUUCGGACCUUGCGCGAUUGAAUGAGCCGAUGUCGGAUUAGCUAGUUGGCGGGGUAAAGGCCCACCAAGGCGACGAUCCGUAGCUGGUCUGAGAGGAUGAUCAGCCACACUGGAACUAAGACACGGUCCAGACUCCUACGGGAGGCAGCAGUGGGGAAUAUUGGACAAUGGGCGCAAGCCUGAUCCAGCCAUACCGCGUGGGUGAAGAAGGCCUUCGGGUUGUAAAGCCCUUUUGUUGGGAAAGAAAAGCAGCAGGUUAAUACCCCGCUGUUCUGACGGUACCCAAAGAAUAAGCACCGGCUAACUUCGUG
rnacentral:rRNA from 1 species